AUAAGUCUUAAACACAUCAGACCGUUUUUGACCACUAAAGGAAUCGAUGAAGUUGCAUACAAGUGGUGAUGUCUUCAGAAUUUGCUAAGGUGCAUAAUGUAUUAUAUUUCGAUGCGUUGUCACUAGGUGGCAGAUUCGUCACAUGGAGUUCCGGUGCAACUAUUGAGAAUUAAUCCGGAUUAAACUGGUUGAGGAACCAAGGACGACUUUGGAUUGGAAAAAGAAUGUAUUGAGAAUUAAGACAGUGUAAUUGGUAAAGAAUUUGUGAAGAAAGCAGUCAGUGGAAGAAAUUACGUGGGAGAAGGAGAAUCGGAUGAGAGAGAUUUAUCCGAAGCUAUUGUAUGAGUUUAGAUGAUUAAGUUGGUUGUUGGAAUUUCGGGGACGAAAUUCUAUAAGGAGGGAAGGUUGUCACAACCCGUCCCGGAAUUUUAAUUCCGAGGACGUGAAGUUAUGAAAAUGCCCUUAAACGGGACUAAGGGGCGUAAAAUAUGUUGUAACUUGAUGAUUUGGGGAUUGGGUAGGAUCCCACCUCCCUCAAAUCUCUCCCCCAUUUCUGCAUUUUGUCUCUCUCUCUCUCCUCCCUCACAAACCUCUCAUUCUCUGAGAGUUCUCUCUCUCUCCUUCGAACUCACACAGACCACCCACAAACCACCCCAAAACUAUACCAACGAAGGAUCUAAGACCACCAUCGUACUCCUGAAGACCACACGAACACGAUGGUACCAAUUUCAGCUUGUAGGAAGCUUGGUGAGGUCCUAAGGAAGCUCGGAGUGCUUCGUUUGAAGGAUUUGGACAUCGGGAUCACAAACUGUAAGUUCGGCCGAAUUUUCGUAUUUUUGGAAAAGUUUGAUUCCGUUGUUUUUAGGCCCUAAAACUAGUCCAACGUGGUAGAUUAUGAUUAGGGCUUCAUUUUGGUAUAAAUUACGUGAAAAAUGGACGUAGGAACACGGAGAACGAUAAGUUCAAAGUUUGGCCGGAGCUGUCGGGGCUUUUUCCGGCGAAACCACGGCGAGUUAGGGGUCGAGACAGAAAUUCCGGCAAAACACCAUCUCCGGCGAAACCAGUCC